rnacentral:snRNA from 1 species
UCUUAUUACACAUUGCUCUGAGUAAUCUCCUGAAGGGCUAGACUCCUUUCCAAUUCUGCCUAUAAUAAUAUCAGCAAAUGAAAUAAUAAUGAUGAAGAUAAUGAUGACGAGGAUGAUGAGACUAUUGGUAAGAGCCAUAUUAUGCUCUGGGCUUCCCAUGUCUUUUCAUCUAAUACUCACAAUGCAUCUAUAAUAUGCUAUUGCUGUCUCAUAUGGACAGAUAAGGAAACUGAGGUACAGAGAGAUUAACAUCUGCACUCACACCUGGUAGGAGGCGAAGUCAGAUGUGUUGUGUUCCAUGGUCAAUGCCUUCUCAAAUACCCCAUACUUUUUUUAAAAGCAUUUUUUAAAGUUUAUUUAUUUAUUUUGAGAGAGAGAGGGAGGGAGAGCAGGGGUGGGGCAGAGAGAAUCCCAAACCGGCUCCACACCAGUAGCUCUGAGCCCGACUCAAGGCUCAAACUCACAAACCAUGAGAUCAUGACCUGAGCCAAAACCAGGAGUCAGAUGCUUACCAACUGAGCCACCCAGGCGCCCCAUCUAAUACCCAUACUUUUUAUAUUUCAUUUAUAUUUGAGACUUUAAAAGGUAUAUAAAAGCUGAAAGUUGUUUUACUUUGCAUUUCUUAACCAAGAAGUAGGUUGCUAGAUAACAUACUUGUUAAACCUCUUUUUCAUCUCCUUUGACCACUUAUCCAAUAGAUUGGUGAUGUUAAUUAGAUAUUUGUAACAACGCCCUCUAAAUUGGAUAGAAAUUGGAUAGAGAUUAUAAAAAAAGAUUGUAUUUUUUCCCCAUAUGUUUACAUAUAUUCUUAGGUUUUAGUGCCCAUUGAUUCUUCCUUUCCUCUAUUCUAAUUUAUGUCUUCUGUAAAUUCCUUUUUUUUAAUAAAUUUUUUUAAGUUUAUUUACUUAUUUUGAGAGAGAGUGAGCAUGAGCAUGGGGAGCGGCAGAGAGGGAGAGCGAGAAUCCCAAGCAGGCUCUGUGCUGUGCUGUCAGCACAGAGCCCAAUGCAGGGUCCACCCAGGCACCCCUUCUGUAAAUUCUCCUUAUCUGAAAAUUCCAUUACCAGCAUGGGGAAUAGUAUAUUAAGUAGUACUUAACACUCUUAUCUUAUUCAUACAAUGGUAGUCUUAGUAGAAGUAGUAGUAGUAAUGGUAGUGAUAGCAGCUUUCAAAAACUAAGUGCUUACCAAGUGCUAAGGAUAUUACAUACAUGAACUCAUUUAAUUAUCACUAUAAUCCAGUGAGAUAUUAUCUUUGUUUUACAAAUGAAGAAAUAGGCCCAGGAGAUCCUGGGUGGCUCAGUGGGUUAAGUGAGUAAGCAUCCAACUCUUGAUCUCAGCUCAGGUCAUGAUCUCGAGGUUCGUGGGUUUGAAUCCUGUAUCAGGCUCUGUGUUGACAGCAUGAAGCCUGCUUGGGAUUCUGUCUCUCCCUUUCUCUGCCCCUCCCCACUCUCUCUCUCUCAAAAUAAAUAAAUAAACUUAAAAAAGAAAAAAAAAUAGGCUCAGAUUUAUCAGCUUGGCCAAGGACACACAGUUAACAAAAGGAAGUCCUGUCUAUGCCGAAGUCCAUGUUCUUAAUAACAGUACUGCUGGCCCCCUAUUAUGUAGAGUAUAAAGUUAACUCUCUUUGAAAACAAAAUCCUUUAUAAACGUAAAGAAAUCUUCCAUACCAAUUUAUUUCUUUUUAAAAUUUUGAAUGAAUGGGUUUUUAUAACAUUAUAUUAGUUUCACGUUUACAACAUAAUGAUUCAAUAUUUGUACGUACUGUGAAAUGAUCACCACGCUAAUCUAGUUAACAUCCAUCACCACAUCUAGUUAUAAAUGUUUUAUACUAACUUCUUACAAGCUUUGAAUCAAAGAGAUUUUUAAUUUAAUCAAAUAUUUUCUUAACGUUUAUAAAGAACUUUGUCAUUACCCUUGCCUAUCCUAGCGUCUACCUCUGGUGGUCUCUGGGCAUUGCCACUCUGGCCUCCAGGGGGCACUGUUACCCCUUUAAUACUGUGGCUCAAGCCUUUGCUAAUUCCCUUAAGCACAGAUAAGACCAGGAAAAUAUUUAAACAAAGUUUACAAGGGGCUCAGAUGAACAGAAGGCAAAUGAGUACAGAGAGUAAUAUACAACUAGAUAAUUUGGUUCACUGAAUGCAGAGUAGGCAUUUCAGUAUUUGACACUGAAAUACCUUGCUUCCCACUGCAUGCACAAAGCAGAAAACUUUUUUUCUAUCCUGCACUAUGUCCUCAAGCAAGCAAAAUUCUUCAAAAACUGGCUCUGAGAUUAGUAAGGCUAGUUCCAGCUAAGGGCUUCCUUCCAAAUUCUACUUUCCAGUUUCAGUGUCUGCCUCUCCCUACACACUGGACACUUAACAUGUCAGCCCUCUUCUAGAAAGAUGGCAUUGUCUGCUUCUGGUUUGUAGCUUUACCCUGUUGUUUGGGAAUGGUUAUCUGUGGGUGUCUCAUACUCCUUCAUGUCUUAGACAGUAUGCCAAGAAUGUAAGGCCCUAACAGCUUAUACAGCUUAUAUUACAUAUCUAUUACUACAUAACUGAUUACUCCAAAAUGUAGAGGCUUAAAAAACAAACUUUUUUUUUUUUUUUUUGACAGUUUCUUUUGAUUAGGAAUCUGGGCAUAGCUUAGCUAGGUGCCCCUGGUUCCAGGUCAAGGUGUUGGCCAGGGUGCAGUCAUCCCCAGUCUUGAAUAAGGGAGAUUCUUCUUCCAAGCUCAUUCAACAGAGUUGUUGGUAGGCCUCAGGUUCUUACUGUGGCCAAAGACAUCCUUUCCUUGCCAUGCAGGUCUCUCCAUAAGGCAGCUCACAACAUGCUGUCUACCCUUGCAGUGAGUGGAGAGAGAACAUGAGAAGGUGCCCAAGACAGAAGCUUCGGUCUUUUUAUAACCUCAUGUCAGAAGCAAUAUCCUGUCAUUUGUGCUGUAUUAAAUUAGUUAGAAGUGAGUCAGUAGCUCUAGCCCACAGUCAACUGGAGGUGAUUACACCAAGGAGUGAAUACCAGAAGGUAAGAAUCAUUAUGGGCCAUUGUAGAGGCCUUCUACCAUAUCACUUUACGCAAGCCAUUUCUCAUGGUGGUGUUUACAGCAAGCAAUCUUUUUUUCUUUUUAAUUUUUUUAAAUGUUUACUUAUUUUUCAGAGAGGGGAGGGAAGGAGAGAGGGAGACACAGAAUCCAAAGCAGGCUCCAGGCUCCGAGCUGUCAGCACAGAGCCCAAUUUGGGGCUCGAACUCAUGAACCAGGAGAUCAUGACCUGAGAUGAAAUCGACACCCCAGUCCUUUUUUUUUUAAGUUUAUUUAUUUAUUUUGAGAAAGAGAACAGGGGAAGGGCAGAGAGAGAGAGAGAGAGGGAGAAAAAGAACCCCAAGAAGUCUCCACACCCAGCCCGGUGCCUGAUGUGGGGUUUGAUCUCACAACUGUGAGAUCAUGACCAGAGCUGAAACCAAGAGUUGGACAUUUAACCAACUGAGCUACCCAGGUUUCUUGCCCUUUUUAAAAAACUUAUGUCUACUCCCAACUUGGGGCUUGAACUUACAACCCUGAGAUCAAGAGUAGCAGGCCCUACUGACUGAGCCAGCCAGGAUCGCCUACAUCAAGCAGUCUUGAGGAAUGAAGUAACCUCUCCCUCUGGGAAAGAGAAGCUGGCUUAGCUUGUUGCUUGCUAGAAAAGCAAUGGGCUCCCCAAGCUCACUGUUACCCCCAAUGAACACAAACCCACUGCACAUGUGGCAUCUAUCUGGGGCUUUUAGUAUCACACCUGUGGGACUUGAGGCAAGAGGAGUUAAUGUAAACAAUUCAUUCUGUUUAUGCUGUGCUGUGGGUAAAAAAAUUUUUUUGUCUAGGUGGCUCAGUCUGUUGAACGUCAACUCUUGGUUUCAGCUCAGGUCAUGAUCUUACAGUUCAUGAGUUCAAGCCCUGCCUGGGGAUUCUCUCUCUCUUUCUCUUUCUCUGCCCGACCCUGCUCUCUCUCUCUUUCUCUCUCUUUCCUUUCUCUCUCAAAAUAAAUAAAUAAACUUUUAUAAAGGUUUUUUCCCCCUCUUCCUCAGAUAUUCCAUGUCUUCUUUCAGCAUCUGUAAAACAGUAAAGGUUAACUUGUUGGCUUGUAAGUAGGAUAAAAACAAAUUGCAGACCUGACAGUUUGACUCAACAGCACAAUUCAGAAUUGUAUACAAGCCUGGGAGACCAUCAUUCAUACAAGAGAUCCACGUACAUAUAUUUCAUUUUAUUUGACAAACACUUAUGUGCCAGGUAAUUAUUCUCAGAGUUUAUAGACAUAAACUCAUUUCAUUCAUGAGGUAGGCACUAUUAAAAACCGCUGCUUUACAGAUGAGGCAGAAGAGGCCCAAAGAUGUUGAGUAACUUGCUGCAAGUCACAUUGCUCAUAAGUGUCAGAGCCUCAAAUAGUCAAACAGAAACAAACACAAAAGUCCUGGCUACACCAUCCAUUGAUCCACUGUAUCAUGCUAACUGUGUUCCAGGUUGGGAAGGGGUGAAGCAGAGACAAGAUGGGGGGAAAUGACAAAACAGAGAGUUCAUUCCUCAAAACAUGAGUUGAAAUCAAUUUAGAAUUUUUCAUUCCUAACAUAGUAACAUAUUGUCUGUUGUUUCAAAGGAUAUUCAAAGGAUAAACUCUACCAGUUAUAUUUGACUGGUUAGGAUUUGACUUAGAACACUUGUUCUAUAUUCAGACUAUGAAGGUUAAAAUGUAUUGUUCACACACACAAAUCUGAACAUGGAAUUUAUAACAGCUUUGUUCAUAACUGCCCAAACUUGGAAGCAGCCAGGAUGUUUUUCAGUUGGUGAAUGGACAAACUGUAGUACAUACAGACAAUAAAAAUUAAUUAAUUUUUAUUUUAGAUAAAGAGAGUGUGUCAGCAGGGGAGAGGGGCAGGGGGAGAGAGAGAGAGAGGGAAAGAGAGAGAAACUUAAGCAGGCUCCAUGCUCAGCGCAGAGCCCGAUGUGGGACUUGAUCCAAUGACUCUGGGAUCAUGACCUGAGCCAAAAUCAAGAGUCGGACGCUCAACCAACUGAGCCACCCAGGCACCCCUCAAUAGAAAAUUAUUUAAUUCUAAAAACAAAUGAGCUAUUAAACCAUGAAAAGAUUGGGGGGAGGGGACUUUAAUGCAUGUCACUAAGUAAAAGAAGCCAUAUGAUUCCAGCCAUAUGACAAUCUGAAAAAGGCAAAACUAUGGAGAUAGUAAAAAGAUCAGUGGUUUCCAGGGGUUGGGAGGAAGGGAGGGAUGAAUAGGCAGAGCUCAAAGGAUUUCAGGGCAAUGAAACUGUUUUGUAGAGUACUGUUAUGGUGAAAACAUGUUAUUAUACAUUUGUCCAAGUCCACAGAAUAUGCAAUAAGAGUGAACCCUAAUGUAAACCAUAGACUGAUGAUAAUGAUGUGUCAAUGUAGGUUCAUCCAUGAUAAUGAAUGUACCACUCUGGUGGGGCAGGUUGUGCAUGUGUGGGGACGGGUUAUAUAAGACCUCUACACUUUCCACCCAAUGUUGUUAUGAACCUAAAACUGCUUUAAAAAAUAGUCUUUUAAAAAGUGCUUUGAAAAUUACAGUGUACUUAAAUUUUUAAAAAAAUUUUUAAAAUUUAUUUUUGAGAGAGAGAGGGCACACCAGCAGGGGAGGAGCAGAGAGAAAGAGAGACACAGAACCCGAAGCAGGGUCCAGGCUCUGAGCUUUCAGCACAGAGCCCAAUGCGGGGCUUGAACCCACGAACCAUGAGAUCAUGACCUGAGCUGAAGUCGGAUGCUUAACCGACUGAGCUACCUAGGUACCCCAAAAAAUUAUGGUGUACUUUAAAAUUUAAACUUUUUUUUAAUUUUUUAAUGUUUAUUUAUUUUUGAGAGAGAGAGAGAGGGAGAGGCCACGAGCAGGGGAGGGGAAGAGAGAGAGGGAGUCACAGGAUCCGAAUUUGCACGUCACCCUUGCACAGGGGCGGGCUAAUCUUCUCUGUAUUGUUCCAGUUUUAGUACACGUGCUACCCAAGCGAGCACAGGAGUCGCAGAAUCCGAAGCAGGCUCCAGGCUCCGAGCUGUCAGCAUAGAGCCUAACUUGGAGCUAGAACCCAUGGACCACAAGAUCAUGACCUGAGCUGAAGUUGGAUGCUAAACUGACUGAGUCAUCCAGGCACCUCAAAUGUAAACUAUUAUUAAUAGUGUAAACGUGUAGUAAGUUUUUGUUAACCUCACUCUAUACCUGUUCAAGUCCCCCUUGCUCUUGGUCUCAUCCUCUGUCUGUUGCCUCCUCCUUUCCUUAAUAAGUGUAAAUGGCUUGGCCCCCACUUGGGCUCUCUUCCCCUCCUCCAUUGUCCUUCUCUUCAACCUUCCUAACCCAGGUUUAAUGCGGCUGUCUCCUCCAUACCUAUACCAUGGCUGCAGAGCUCUGCGAAGAUGAUAUCUAUUGUACAACUUGCAUUUCUCCUACAUCAGUUCAUCCCUCAGUGUGUCCUGCAACUAUUUCUGUUUCUCAAACCAGAGCUUUCUGCUUAAUAUAUGUAUCAGCAAAUUUUAAG